CAUUGUGGUUCCUAAUUUGUUGAAGUAGUGAAACCAUUUCAUUUUCACCCCCGGGCUGUUUCUGACAUCUCCAAGCCUGAAAGCUUGAAACUGCAGUAAACAAAGCCGUUUGGAAUUGUCUUACUGCUCAUUUCUGAACCAACUAUCAGCAAGAAAAAUCUGUUUCUUGAAUGCAAACACACGCAAUUGACACAAUCUGUUCACUCGAAGCAGGGUGUAGAUCCAAUGGCCACACAGUACGUGCGAAUGAUGCUAGUUAGAACUUGUUCAGCAAGUCUCCUGCCCCCAGUUAAGCUGCAUAAUCUCCCAAAUAAAUGAAAGGAAUCCUGGUAAUUUUCUUAAUUAGUUUUUGCUCUUUAAGUGUUGUUCCAAGUAAACAGCUGCUCCAAUUAACCAAUGGCCCAAUUUAGUGGAACCCGCUGUAUAUAAAAAAGGUGGGCACCAACGUUCUCAGCUUGAGGUGCAUGCCCUCCACUGGUAGUGUACCGAUCCCUAGUGCUCUGUUGUAACUGACCACCACCUUGACAAAAACUCUUUUAAGGUUGAUCAGCACGAAUAGCCAGAGCAACAGAGGUUUGGGAACACCAGCACCUUCAAACCUCACAGUGUGCUGAUAACAAACCUUUGCAGUCUUUGGUUUGGAAUCCGAGAACAAAGCAGCAGUUCGGUAAGGCAGUUCACCAUCACCUUCCCAAGGCAACUAAGAAACGCUGGCCUGACCAUAAACAUUCACAUGGAUAAUCUGUGACCCCAUCCAUCGAAGCUAAGAAAUUAUUAAACACUCUCAAAGUGCAGUGGAGGAAUUCAUCUCUGUGUUCAGUAAGAAAAGAGUUAUCUCUGUUGUGGAUUUGAGUCCACCUAAUGUCAGAUACAACAUAGAAUAGAACUGAACACAAUGUCAAACUCAACUAAAUCUCUUCUGUCUGCACACGAUCCAUAUGCCUGUAUAUUCACAUCUUCUAUAAGCCUUGUCAAUGCCACUGUCACAUCUACUUCACCACUACACCUGACAUCUUGUUCCAGACCCCCACACUCACUGUGUGAAAAAACCUAUGCCAACAAGCUCAAGCAUUCCUCCUCCCACCUUAAACAUGCCCUCUAGCAUACGACGUUUCUACCCUGGGAUAAGGAUUCUACAAGACCAUUAGGCCAACAGAUAUCGCAGCAGAAUUAGGCCAUUCGUCUCUUCGAAUCUGUUCUGCCAUUUCACCAUGACUGAUCCAUUUCCCUCUCAGCCCCAAUCUCCUGCCUUCACCCUGUAUCCACUCAUGCCCUGACUAAUCAAGAAUCUAUCAAUCUCUGCCUUAAAUAUACCCAAUGACUUGGCCUCCACAGCUGACUGCGGCAUUGAAUUCCACAGAUUCACCACCGUCUGGCUAAAGAAAUUCCUCCGCAUCUCCAUUCUAAAUGGGCAUUCCUCUAUUUUGAGGCUGUGUUCUUUAGUCUUUGACUGGAAGCACCCUCUCCACAAGCACACUAUCGAGGUCUUUCGACACGAGAUCCCCCCUCAUUCUUCUUAAUUCCAGCGAGUACAGCUCCAGAGCUGACAGUCUGCUGCAUCUGUUAUCUCUCGCAUAAUUUUAUAAACUUUUAUCAUGUCUCUCCUCAGCCACUGAUGUUCCGAAGAUAACAACUUGCAAACAAUACUGGUCACCAAUAGGGGAUUUCCCUCCCUUUGAGAUUUGAGCUACAGAUCCUGGCUCCCAUCAGAGAACAAGAAGUCCCCUUCUGGGCUGGAAGAGAACAGCAGGGAAGGAUCAACCUAUUUGCAGAGGCUAGUUUCGGCCCCCUCAACACAGCCCUCGUGGAACCUCACAACAGAGCCAGGCAGUCGUUCAAAGCUCAUUCAGGACUUCCUGUGCCCUGUAGGAGAUGCACUGGGGCUUUACACACCCAGAGUGCAAGCCAGAGCCAUUUCUGCCCCAGUCCUGGACCCAGUCCUUUCCUUCAAGAGAUUCAGGAUGGAAUAGGCCCUUCUGGCCCAACGAGUCACUCCAACCAGCAACCUAAACGCAAGACAAUUUACAGUGUUCACCUAAUAAUCGUCUUUGGACUGUGGAAGAAAACUGGAGCACCUGGAGGGAACCCCCCCCCCUCCCCAGAUACACGUGAUGAGAACUUAAAACUCUUUACAGACACCGCUGAAAUUGAACUUCGAACUCCAGAGUUCAAAGUUCAAGCUGUAAUAACGGGUGUCCCUACUCCCAGUGACCACUCCCCGGUGAACCUCGGUAGAGAUCGUAAAGAGCACCAAAUUUUUUGGUGUUCACCUGGCAGAGAAUCUCACCUGGUCCCUCAACACCAGCUCCAUAGCAAAGAAAGCCCAGCAGCGUCUCUACUUUCUGUGAAGGCUGAGGAAAGUCCAUCUCCCAGCCCCCAUCCUCACCACAUUCUACAGGGGUUGUAUUGAGAGCAUCCUGAGCAGCUGCAUCACUGUCUGGUUCGGAAAUUGCACCAUCUUGGAUCGCAAGACCCUGCAGCGGAUAGUGAGGUCAGCUGAGAAGAUCAUCGGGGUCUCUCUUCCCGCCAUCACGGACAUGUACACUACACGCUGCAUUCGCAAAGGAAACAGCAUUAUGAAGGACCCCAUGCACCCCUCAUACAAUCUCUUCUCCCUCCUGCCAUCUGGGAAAAGACACUGAAGCAUUCAACCUCUCACGACCAGACUAUGUAACAGUUUCUUCCCCCAAGCUAUCAGACUCCUCAAUACCCAGAGCCUGGACUGACACCUUACUGCCCUAUUGUCCUGUUUAUUAUUCAUUGUAAUGCCUGCACUGUUUUGUGCACUUUACGCAGUCCUGUGUAGGUCUGUAGUCUAGUGUAGCUUUCUUUGUGUUUUUUUUUACAUAGUUCAGUCUAGUUUUUGUACUGUGUCAUGUAACACCAUGGUCCUGAAAAACGUUGUCUCAUUUUUAUUAUGUACUGUACCAGCGGUUAUGGUUGAAAUGACAAUAAAAGUGACUUGACUUGA